AACGAACGCUGGCGGUAUGCCUAACACAUGCAAGUCGAACGAGACCUCCGUGACAACUGGCUCAUAGGUGCGUCAAGUGUCGGACCCUGCACUUAGACUCCGAAUUAUACUUUUUCAUGGGUGCUAAUAUCGGAUAAUGUAUUCGAAUAAAAGAUUUAUCGCCUUUGGAUGGGCCCGCGUUGGAUUAGCUAGUUGGUAGGGUAAAAGCCUACCAAGGCGACGAUCCAUAGCUGGUCUGAGAGGAUGAUCAGCCACACUGGGACUGAGACACGGCCCAGACUCCUACGGGAGGCAGCAGUGGGGAAUAUUGGACAAUGGGCGAAAGCCUGAUCCAGCAAUGCCGCGUGAGUGAUGAAGGCCUUAGGGUUGUAAAGCUCUUUUACCCGGGAUGAUAAUGACAGUACCGGGAGAAUAAGCUCCGGCUAACUCCGUG
rnacentral:rRNA from 1 species